GGGGCUCUGUUGGUUCUCCCGCAACGCUACUCUGUUUACCAGGUCAGGUCCGGAAGGAAGCAGCCAAGGCAGAUGACGCGUGUGCCGGGAUGUAGCUGGCAGGGCCCCCACCCAUU
rnacentral:SRP_RNA from 3 species